rnacentral:rRNA from 1 species
UACGUAGGUGGCAAGCGUUGUCCGGAUUUACUGGGCGUAAAGAGCGCGCAGGCGGUCGUGCAAGUCGCGUGUGAAAGCCCCCGGCUCAACUGGGGAGGGUCACGCGAUACUGUUCGACUCGAAGGCAGGAGAGGGAAGCAGAAUUCCCGGUGUAGUGGUGAAAUGCGUAGAGAUCGGGAGGAACACCGGCGGCGAAGGCGGCUGCCUGGACCGGCCCUGACGCUGAGGCGCGAAAGCUAGGGGAGCAAACAGG